rnacentral:rRNA from 1 species
GAUGAACGCUGGCGGCGUGCUUAACACAUGCAAGUCGAACGAGAAGUGAAGACGGAAACCUUCGGGCGGAAGGCUUUAUUUCGAGUGGCGGACGGGUGAGUAACGCGUGGGUAACCUGCCUCAUACAGGGGGAUAACAGUUGGAAACGACUGUUAAUACCGCAUAAGACCACAGCACCGCAUGGUGCGGGGGUAAAAACUCCGGUGGUAUGAGAUGGACCCGCGUUCGAUUAGCCAGUUGGCGGGGUAACGGCCCACCAAAGCGACGAUCGAUAGCCGAUCUGAGAGGAUGACCGGCCACAUUGGGACUGAGACACGGCCCAAACUCCUACGGGAGGCGGCAGUGGGGAAUAUUGCACAAUGGGGGAAACCCUGAUGCAGCGACGCCGCGUGAGUGAAGAAGUAUUUCGGUAUGUAAAGCUCUAUCAGCAGGGAAGAAAAUGACGGUACCUGAGGAAGAAGCCCCGGCUAACUACGUG